CAUAAUAUGCGACACUCCCACCUGCAAUUCUUCAUAUCUUUCUGUAACUGCACUGACAGUUUUGUGUUUCACUCUUAACUUUUCUAAACAUGGACAUCAUCAAACAUGGUCUCACCAGCUUGUUACUGUUUCUGUCCUGGAUGAAAGGUCUUACUGAUGGAAGUGAUGUCACCCAGACGGACAUACUGUGGGGGAAACAGGGAGAAGAUGCAACAAUGAGCUGCAGCCACACGAAGGGUGCUAACUAUUUUGACAUGUACUGGUACAGACAGCUGCCAGGAGAAACAAUGAAACAGAUCGUGUUCACAAGAAGCGGCAAUGAAGAUCAUGAUUUUGGAAAAUUUAGCAAAGAGAAAUUUGCAGCCACUAAGCCUGACGCUGAGAGAGGGACAUUCACAGUGAAGAAUCUGGAGCCAAAAGAUAAAGGCUUGUAUUUCUGUGCUGUGAGUCAACACAGUGAUACAGACACAUUCAACAGCUGAACAAAAACUCAGUGCACUAAUCUCAUGUAGUCAAGGGGGACCUCAAGUCCCACAAAUUCUCCCUGAUACACUUUGAUCACAAGCCAAACAACAUUUGACACUCCCACCUACAACUCUUCAUCUCUGUACCUACACUGACAGUUACGCGUUUCACUCUGACUUUUCGAAACA